ensembl:lncRNA
GCAUGCGCGCCUCGCGCCUCGCGUCUGCCACUGCCUCCGCGCUAGACUGGCCCCCGCGGAUCCCUGGGCCGGGCUCUGCGCGUGGGUGGGGGAGGUCCGCGUGGCCUCCGGGACUGCCCCUCGGUGCUGGCUGUCGGCGGGGGACGCAAGCCUAAGCUGCCUGUUUUGGGAGGGUGCGAUGGGGCCGUGGAGGAGGGUCUGCGCGUGGCUCUCCGGGAGUGCAGAGUGGAAGCAAGGCUUGCCGCCGACAUAACCCAGCUAGGGCGGAGUGGCGAGUAAUGGCCUUGUAGGCCAUCCAGGGCAGCCUGGGCAGGCUUUGGCCAGCUUCGCACGGGUGCCACUGCACAGGCUCCCUUCAGAGCAGUGCCGGAGGACGGCGCCAGGAGCCAGUGCACACAUCCCUCCUGUCCUGGGGGCCGGACAGCCACCGCGCGGGGAGACCCUUCGCUCAGGAGCAGCGCUGGUGUUGGCUCCACUCGCCGGGUCGCCCAGGGCCCUUCACUUCCCGAUCAACUCCCCACCGCCGCCGCUUUCACGGGAAGCCAAGCCAAGUCACCUACGGCACGUGCACUGGAUCAAAAUAAUACACGUUUGCACAUGCGCCAGACGGUAUGUUUCGUACUUAAGCGCAGGGUUGGAAAUGGAAGGUCCUCACCCUGCUUCCCCGCGCCGGGGCCGCCUUCCCCGCGGUGCGCGGGAGCUCGGGGAGCGCGCGCCCCCUGCCGGCCGGCCGGAGCGCGGGGCGGGUUUCGCGCCCUCGGUGCCCUGCUAAGCUUGGAAUUGCUUUGCUGGUUCCCGCCGGAGGCUGCUUUGAGGCUCCAAGUGACUCCCCGUUCCCCGGGUGCCUCGCCGUCGAGGAGCCCAAAGCUUCUCCAUCUCCAGCGCUGGAUGAGGCUCCCCUAGUUUUCCUUCUGCCCCGAUACCCUGUACUGUCACACAGGUUGUGCUGAUGGCGGGGGACCGGGACUGCACUUGCACGUGGCCUGGAGCUCACUUCCGCGCUCCCCCUCGCUGGACCUCUGACUGCGCAGGUCUCCGAGCUUGUUUCUUGGAGGCUUGGGAUAGCUGGGAGGCCCCAUGAGAGCAAGACGGUGAAGCUACCAGCAAUGGGGCCUGCUUCUGAUGUAGCCAUUGACCGCAACUUGCAUAGCUGAGCUUGCACAUUCCUCCUCUCCUCCCCAGCCCCUGCCCCCGCACCCACCUGUGGCUGCCCUAUGUCCUCUCCAGACCACCCCACACAGCUGUGGCUGCCCUCCCAGUCUCCCUCUUUCACCGCUCUGUGUGGUUUUGUCCUGUGCUUGCUCCUGACACAUGGGCUUCGCUUUACCUUUCGUUUUUAUUUUUCUAAUUUUAACUUUAAUUUUUUUUUUUUUGAGACGGAGUUUCUCUUUUGUUGCCUAGGCUGGAAUGCAAUGGCGCACUUUCGGCUGACAGCAACCUCUGCCUCCCGGGUUCAAGCGAUUGAUUCUCCUGCCUCCGCCUCCUGAGUAGCUGGGAUUACAGGCAUGUACCACUAUGCCCGGCUAAUUUUGUAGUUUUAGUAGAGACAGGGUUUCUCCAUGUUGAUCAGGCUGGUCUCGAACUCCUGGGAUCCGCCUGCAUCAGCCUCCCAAAGUGCUGGGAUUACAGGCCUGAGCCACAGCGCCCGGGCUUUUAUACUUGCCCAGGGCCAAAAGGAAGUCUUGCAUUAGUCAAACUCAUCAGAUUCAGUAAAAAGUCAACUCUAAAAUAAUUAUUUGAGACCGGUGCAGUGGCUCACGCCUGUAAUCCCAACAGGGGCAGGGUGCCGUGGCUCACACCUGUAAUCACAGCACUUUGGGAGGCCUAGGGGGGUGGACCACGAGGUCAAGAGAUAGAGACCAUCCUGGCCAAUAUGGGGGAACCCUGUCUCUACUAAAAAUACAAAAAUUAGCUGGGCAUGAUGGUGUGCACCUGUAGUCCCAACUACUCAAGAGGCUGAGGUAGGAGAAUUGCCUGAACCCAGGAGGCGGAGAUUGCAGUGAGCCAAAAUCAUGCCACUGACUCCAGCCUGGUGACAGAGCAAGACUCCAUCUCAAAAAAAAAAAAAAAAAAAAAAAAAAAAAAAAAAAAAACCAGCCCAGAAAACAAAACGAGUCUUCAUCUCCAUAAAAAAUUAAAAAUAAUUACUUGGGUGUGGUGGCACCUGCUUGUGGUCCCGGCCUGUUGGGAAGUUGAGACGGGAGGAGAGCUUGGGCCCAGGAGUUGGAGGCUCCAGUGAACUAUGAUUGUGCCACUGGACUCCAGCCUGGGUGACACAGCAAGAUCCCAUUUCUAAAAAAUAAUUAAAAGCCGGGCGCAGUGGCUCACGCCUGUAAUCCCAGCACUUUGGGAGGCUGAGGCCGGUGGAUCGCCUAAGGUCGGGAGUUCGAGACCAGCCUGACCAACAUGGAGAAACCCUGUCUCUACUAAAAAUACAAAAAUUAGCUGGGCCUGGUGGCACAUGCCUAUAAUCCCAGCUACUAGGGAGGCUGAGGCAGGAGAAUUGCUUGAACCUGGGAGGCGGAGGUUGCGGUGAGCCGAGAUCGUGCCAUUGCACUCCAGCCUGGGCAACAAGAGCAAAACUCCACCUCAAAAAUAAUAAUAAUAAUAAUAAUAAUAAUAAUAAUUAAAAUAAAAUAGUUAUCUGUCAAAUUUCAGGACCAAAAGUCUAGGUCUUGUCAGUCAACAGACACAGCGGUGAGUGGGGGAAACCCUGGAGGAAAGGUGUGGAAGGGCAAGGGCUUUGGUGUAUUUGGGUGUCACUGAGGAGGCCCAGCUCUCUGGUAUACUGCCAUCACCUCCUGACUGAUUGAUUAGGUGAGGAUUGACCAAGGUAAACGGUUCAAAGGCUAAAUGAAAUUUAGCUGUGCUACCAAGAAGGUGCUCUAGUUUUAGUGCAAGAGGCAUUUCGUCUUCAAUGUGUAUAAAUAUAUAUAUUUUUUCAAUGUGUAUAUAAUAUAAACACAGACACACCGCCAAGGCUGGUCUUUCCCGUAGUUCACUGAUAUUUCUGGUUCUUUUCCUUCUAGGCCUAUGGGAAGGUUUUUCAUUCCUGGCAUCUUGAGGAAAGGUUUGGCCAUGUGACUUAUAUGACUAAUGAAAUGUUGGCAGAAGGAAUGUGUGUCACUUCUGGGCAAAAGCCGUUAAGAGCCAUAGUGAUGAAUCCAGAUGGCGGAGGCGUCAUUCCCCUCCUGUAGUAUGAGCUGUGAGAAAUAAACCUUGUCAUGUGAAGCCACUGAGAUUUGGGGUUGUUAUUGCAGCAAACCAGGCCCAUCCUGACUAACACAUCCUAAAUCCUUUCAGAAACAAAACAGUACAGGCAAACUAGCAAACAGACAGGCAGACAGAUUAUUUCCCUGGAAACUCUGAGCCCUGAGAAUCCAGAGUUCCUUUCUUGGAUGCUGGAUGGCAAGUGAAAGUAUGCUCAAAUCAAGGUUGGCACACCUCACGUUCACACUGAGCUGAAGGUGUGGGAGCUCCCACUCUGAGCUGGAGGGCCACGGUCACAGCUACUCAGUCAGGACCAGCCCUUGCUCCGUGUUGUGCUCAUCUACAUCAUGGCCUUGUGAGGCUGCAGGUCGGAGUGGACUCUGGGGCUGUGGGUCAUUCCACAGGGCUCUGAUAACAGCCUCCUCAUUCCUCCUACAGGGCUCCUUGGCUCUAGCCCUGUAAGUCAAGCCUCUUUCUUAUUUGUUUGGGUUCUUUUUGUAGUUGUUAUAUAUUCAUGAGUCAGUAGUCAUGACGGAUCACAGCUUUUAGUGAACAUUGUCAUCCGCACCAUGUUAAAUUAAAAAGCAGGAGGCCAGGCCAGGCGCAGUGGCUCACACCUGUAAUCCCAGCAUUUUGGGAGACUGAGGUGGGCGGAUCACAACAUCAGGAGAUCGAGACCAUCCUGGCUAACACAGUGAACCCCGUCUCUACUAAAAAUACCGGAUGGAGACCGGCUCUGCCUGUGUCCUGGUGCCCUGCCCCACAGUGCAGUGGAACCAGAGACAGGGCUGCGGGACGAUAGCAGCACUUCAGGAACUGCUGUAAGGAGAAAGGUCCAAGGCAGGAAACACGUCCCAUAGGGACAAAGGGGAGCCUGAUCACCUCCCGGGGACCGACCACUAAUCCAACCCAGAGUGGCUGGGGGUGGCAGGAGUGGCCUGCCAAUUUGCCAAUUUGGAUGAACCUCAUGUCCCCACUAAUAAGGUGGAAGGGAGAAAACAGGCCAACAGAGUAGCAAGUGCAGCAAGAAAGAGCUUGCUGGCAGGGUGGCAAGAGUGGUUUACCACCCCAAAUGGGAGUGUGUGGGUGCAUGUGAACUGGGAGUGUGUGGGUGCGUAUGAACCUACUGGGGACAUGACAGGGGCUCAUUUCGUCCAAUGAGGAGCCCUGGGGUAGCAGUGGUGUAUGUAUGUGUGUGUGUGAACGUGGGAGCCUAACUAGGUUCACCCGGGACACAGGAGAGGCCCGUUUCAUCUGGUGAGGAGUCCUGGGGCAGAGGAGGUGUGUGAAAGUGCGUGAAAGAGAUGGUAUGGGAGAGGCCAACGCAGGCAGUGACAUGGGGAGGCACAGAUCCCUUAGUGUAGGCUGUGUGCUCCGAGGUGAGUGCAGGGGAAAUCAGACCUAGGGCACUGCAUACGGCUGAUAGGACCAGCUCCACGGCUGCAGCAGGCUGUGAGAUGGGAAGGCACAUUCCUGGCUAAGCAGCAUCCGAAACUCUCAUAAUAGGACCUGGUCUGGUAGACCCGAGACUGAAAGUGUGCCACAAGGAAGGAAAUGGGAGGGAAAGCGUCACAACCAACUCCUUUGGAGUGCAUGUUAAAAAAAAGUUUUUAAAAAGGAUUUAGAGGUGAUUGUGGGAUGAAACUGGAUGCUCAAAACUUAAGGACAUACUAUGAAUUAGAACAGCCCUCUUUUAGUGUUGGAUGGCUGGCCGAAGGCAAUGUAGAGAAAUUGGCCAUGUGUUUUAAGGUGGUGAUUGGGGUCGAGGACACGACCUAGUCUUUAUAUUGAUUCAUGGCUAAAUAAAUGCAGCCCUGCCUAGCAGUUUACUGUAGAAUGCUCGCGGCUCCUGCCAAGAUGAACCAGCUGCGCUGGCAGCUACAGAGUUAAAGGGAAAGUCACAGAGGCUUGUAACUCCAACAGUAAAAAGCGAAAAGUAAAAACCAAGAGUGGAAGUAAAAAUCAGCUGCCCAGGCAGCUAUGGAAACAAAAGAAAAGUCUCAGGAAAGAGAAAACCGGUUUUGCAAGAACCAGAGGAGGGAAUGGAGACCCCUCCUCCCUACAUUCCAAUCUUCCCCCUGUUACCAAGGCUAACUGCCCCUAAGGGGUUAAGAGAUACAAGCUCCCAGUAUCACCCAAGAAGCAGAAA